rnacentral:rRNA from 1 species
CCUACGGGAGGCAGCAGUGAGGAAUAUUGGUCAAUGGCCGAGAGUCUGAACCAGCCAAGUCGCGUGAGGGAAGACGGCCCUACGGGUUGUAAACCUCUUUUGUCGGGGAGCAAAGCGAACCACGUGUGGCUCAUUGAGCGAACCCGAAGAAAAAGCAUCGGCUAACUCCGUGCCAGCAGCCGCGGUAAUACGGAGGAUGCGAGCGUUAUCCGGAUUUUAUUGGGUUUAAAGGGUGCGCAGGCGGAGGUGCAAGUCAGCGGUCAAAUUGCGGGGCUCAACCCCGUACUGCCGUUGAAACUGCAGCCAUUGAGUGCGCGAGAAGUAGGCGGAAUGCGUGGUGUAGCGGUGAAAUGCAUAGAUAUCACGCAGAACUCCGAUUGCGAAGGCAGCAUACCGGCGCGCAACUGACGCUCAUGCACGAAAGCGUGGGUAUCGAACAGGAUUAGAUACCCUUGUAGUC